rnacentral:rRNA from 1 species
AAGGUGGGGAUGACGUCAAAUCAUCAUGCCCCUUAUGACCUGGGCUACACACGUGCUACAAUGGAUGGUACAAAGGGUAGCGAAGCCGCGAGGUGGAGCCAAUCCCAUAAAACCAUUCUCAGUUCGGAUUGUAGGCUGCAACUCGCCUACAUGAAGCCGGAAUCGCUAGUAAUCGCGGAUCAGCAUGCCGCGGUGAAUACGUUCCCGGGCCUUGUACACACCGCCCGUCACACCACGAGAGUUUGUAACACCCGAAGUCGGUAGGGUAACGCUUAGGCGAGCCAGCCGCCGAAGGUGGGACAGAUAAUUGGGGUGAAGUCGUAACAAGGUAGCCGUAUCGGAAGGUGCGGCUGGAUCACCUCCUUUCUAAGGAA